UGCAAGUCGAGCGGACAGAUGGGAGCUUGCUCCCUGAUGUCAGCGGCGGACGGGUGAGUAACACGUGGGUAACCUGCCUGUAAGACUGGGAUAACUCCGGGAAACCGGGGCUAAUACCGGAUGCUUGAUUGAACCGCAGGUUCAAUUAUAAAAGGUGGCUUUUAGCUACCACUUACAGAUGGACCCGCGGCGCAUUAGCUAGUUGGUGAGGUAACGGCUCACCAAGGCAACGAUGCGUAGCCAACCUGAGAGGGUGAUCGGCCACACUGGGACUGAGACACGGCCCAGACUCCUACGGGAGGCAGCAGUAGGGAAUCUUCCGCAAUGGACGAAAGUCUGACGGAGCAACGCCGCGGGAGUGAUGAAGGUUUUCGGAUCGUAAAACUCUGUUGUUAGGGAAGAACAAGUACCGUUCGAAUAGGGCGGUACCUUGACGGUACCUAACCAGAAAGCCACGGCUAACUACGUGCCAGCAGCCGCGGUAAUACGUAGGUGGCAAGCGUUGUCCGGAAUUAUUGGGCGUAAAGCGCGCGCAGGCGGUUUCUUAAGUCUGAUGUGAAAGCCCCCGGCUCAACCGGGGAGGGUCAUUGGAAACUGGGGAACUUGAGUGCAGAAGAGGAGAGUGGAAUUCCACGUGUAGCGGUGAAAUGCGUAGAGAUGUGGAGGAACACCAGUGGCGAAGGCGACUCUCUGGUCUGUAACUGACGCUGAGGCGCGAAAGCGUGGGGAGCGAACAGGAUUAGAUACCCUGGUAGUCCACGCCGUAAACGAUGAGUGCUAAGUG
rnacentral:rRNA from 1 species